AUUGAACGCUGGCGGCAUGCUUUACACAUGCAAGUCGAACGGCAGCGGGGGCUUCGGCCUGCCGGCGAGUGGCGAACGGGUGAGUAAUGCAUCAGAACGUGCCCAUGUCGUGGGGGAUAACGUAGCGAAAGCUACGCUAAUACCGCAUACGUCCUGAGGGAGAAAGCGGGGGAUCUUUGGACCUCGCGCGAUUGGAGCGGCCGAUGUCGGAUUAGCUAGUAGGUGAGGUAAAGGCUCACCUAGGCGACGAUCCGUAGCGGGUCUGAGAGGAUGAUCCGCCACACUGGGACUGAGACACGGCCCAGACUCCUACGGGAGGCAGCAGUGGGGAAUUUUGGACAAUGGGGGGCAACCCUGAUCCAGCCAUGCCGCGUGAGUGAAGAAGGCCUCGGGUU
rnacentral:rRNA from 1 species